GGCCGGGUGGUGGAAUGGUAGACACGCGGGUCUCAAAAACCCGUGAGCUUUAAACUCAUGAGAGUUCGAAUCUCUCCCUGGCCA
rnacentral:tRNA from 1 species